rnacentral:rRNA from 1 species
UACGGAGGGUGCAAGCGUUAUCCGGAUUCACUGGGUUUAAAGGGUGCGUAGGUGGGCAUGUAAGUCAGUGGUGAAAUCUCCGGGCUUAACCCGGAAACUGCCAUUGAUACUAUAGGUCUUGAAUACCGUGGAGGUAAGCGGAAUAUGUCAUGUAGCGGUGAAAUGCUUAGAUAUGACAUAGAACACCAAUUGCGAAGGCAGCUUACUACCCGAAUAUUGACACUGAGGCACGAAAGCGUGGGGAUCAAACAGGAUUAGAACCGUAC